rnacentral:rRNA from 1 species
AUUGAACGCUGGCGGCAUGCCUUACACAUGCAAGUCGAACGGUAACAGGUCUUCGGAUGCUGACGAGUGGCGAACGGGUGAGUAAUAUAUCGGAACGUGCCCAGUCGUGGGGGAUAACGCAGCGAAAGCUGUGCUAAUACCGCAUACGAUCUAUGGAUGAAAGCGGGGGAUCGCAAGACCUCGCGCGAUUGGAGCGGCCGAUAUCAGAUUAGGUAGUUGGUGGGGUAAAGGCCCACCAAGCCAACGAUCUGUAGCUGGUCUGAGAGGACGACCAGCCACACUGGAACUGAGACACGGUCCAGACUCCUACGGGAGGCAGCAGUGGGGAAUUUUGGACAAUGGGCGCAAGCCUGAUCCAGCAAUGCCGCGUGCAGGAUGAAGGCCUUCGGGUUGUAAACUGCUUUUGUACGGAACGAAAAGGCUCUGGUUAAUACCUGGGGCUCAUGACGGUACCGUAAGAAUAAGCACCGGCUAACUACGUG